AGUUUUUUUUAAUAUUAAAAUUAGCUAAACACCAAAAUUUUAGACUAAAUUACCCUUGUCAAUCUCACCCAUGCUCACCAAAAUCUCUCACUCACCCAAACGUCUUACCUAUUGCUAGCACCAUAGAGCAAUAUCGGAGUUAAGUCACUUGUAGAAACUGAAACUUCUUUUAGAGCAAAUGUCUCUGUCCCCGAUAGUGAAUGAGAGGUAUUACCACAAACACUAUCCUUACAACUUAUUAACAACUUAUUCUAAUAAUUUGAUUUUCUAAUUCAUACACGUACAUGUCUGAUUCUUGAAAUUUUAACUCUUAAUCUAAAAAUUAAAAUGACACAAUAUUUUAUAUAACUAUUCUAGACAUUCAUGGAUAUCUCUCAUAAAUCUUUUCAAGAGGACCCAACACCAAAAACAUUUUCAAAAUUAUUUGUUUCUUGAUAAAUUCAAAAUUGUCACACGGUGCUUUAACUAAACAGUAUGGAUUUUGAGAUUUUUAUAAAAUUAUACAUUAACCAAAAAAUUAUGAAAUUAAACUGGAAAUACUAUACACAUAUGUUAACAUUUGUUUAAAAUGUCAAAAAUUUUCAAAUUCGUUUGGCUCUACAAAUAAUUUUGUGAAUCUGGUCGCUCUACUAGAAUUGUAGUUUUCCAGUGCAACGGUGUUAGUUUCAAAAAUCCAUAUAAAAUUGAAAACAAAGUCAAAUCUUAUGAAAAAAAGUUUAUUCAAUAAGCCAUAUAUAUCUAGUUUAAAAAAAGAUAAAGUUCUUCUUAAAAAAUUUCAUAAAAUAUAUGUUUUAUUUCGAGAUAUUCUUGUUGUCCACAAUUGUUCAGUGUGUAUAUUGCAUCAGGGAUUAACUAACAUGACUCACCAAUAAAUUAGCGCACUAAACACAGCUUAAACACAUCCUAAAAUCAUGCAUAACGGUCUAUAACAAUCUAAAAUGAUGUCAAUAAAACCCUAAAUAGAGCACAACGAUAGGAAAUCAAAUAGAGUAUAGAGAGAGUAAAACUUACCAACUGUUAAGACUCUUUCCCCAAAGCAAAAGUUUGAAUACAAUAAAAAAAAAAAACGAUGUGGAUUUAGGGUUAGAGGAGGGGGAAAAGUAUAAAUUUAUAGAGAACCUUAAGAAACCCUGUUAACUUUGAAAAUAGUAAGUCUUUUUCAAAAUUACCUUAUAAAUCUUAAUUAUGGAUUCAAUAAUCCUUAUUAAUAAGGGCAAUAAGGCCAUUUAUGAUUUCUAAUAAAAUAAAAUUUUUAUAAUUUAAAAUCAUGGAAAUUUGGCGUUACAAUAAGGUAGCAUACAACAACAGUUUUAAAUUCAAUAAGAUAGCUAUACGUGAGAACCCGCUACAAGAAGCCAACAACACCGUUGCAUCAUUUUGCGACUGUAUAAGUAGAUCUGGUAAGAAUUUCUUACGACACUACAGCCGUAACAAAAGUACGGACGAUGAAACUCAAUGAUUCAGUAAGAUCUAUAAUACUAUUUUUAACUUUUUUGUAUGUUCGUAUUGAUUUUUUUUUUUUUGUUUUUUGUGAUAGAAAGUACUAAAUUCGAAACUCCAUAACCAACAUAUUAAUUUCUCCCAAUAUUCUAAUA
rnacentral:lncRNA from 1 species